rnacentral:rRNA from 1 species
GGUUCCACCUCUUCCCAUUCCGAACAGAGAAGUUAAGCUCAGUCACGCCGAUGGUACUGCGUAACAGUGGGAGAGUAGGUAGUCGCCGUUU